UUCGUGUAUGCAUAUUCCGAC
rnacentral:piRNA from 1 species